CUCAUUUCCUCAGUUACUAAGCAACCCGCCAGCUUUUCCCUCUGGUCUUGCUUGCUCACCCUUGUCUCUUCUGAAACACGUUCGUCCUUCCUACGCUUACUCUUAUCCAAACCAUAUCCCUAGACCCACGAAGCACUCUUCAUGUGACUUGGAUCCAGAUUCCUUGUACAGGAUAUCCUACUCGGCAUGUAUCAAGAAGGAUUUGUCAUAACCUCAUUAAGUAUGGUGCCGCAAACUAGAUCCAUAUCUGCAGGUUAAGAGAUAACAGCCUUGUCCUAUCAAUCAAGGGAACAAAAGUUCAAGAGAAAUCAACUGGAUUGGUGUUUGAUUGGCUCUGGGCAAGGGCAUGUUGACAACUUUGAAAAAGUGGGCCAGAGGCAGGGUCAAGAAGUCAGCUGGUUGCGGCUUAACUGCAGAAGGUCUGAACUGUUUCCACCCCCAUCUGGGAACUAUUUCUUUGUUCCCAGGUGAUGAUAAGAUGAUGUGGUUGGCUAUAAAACUCUGUACCCAGGAUGUUCGAGGCCACACUCUGGUCAAGUGUGUCGGUCCCGAUCAGUCGGCCUUGUCUCUCAUUGCAAUAAACUUUGUUGUGACUGUCA